AUUGAACGCUGGCGGCAUGCCUUACACAUGCAAGUCGAACGGUAACGCGGGGCAACCUGGCGACGAGUGGCGAACGGGUGAGUAAUAUAUCGGAACGUGCCCAGUAGUGGGGGAUAGCCCGGCGAAAGCCGGAUUAAUACCGCAUGAGACCUGAGGGUGAAAGCGGGGGAUCGCAAGACCUCGCGCUAUUGGAGCGGCCGAUAUCAGAUUAGCUAGUUUGUGGGGUAAAGGACUACCAAGGCAACGAUCUGUAGUUGGUCUGAGAGGACGACCAGACAAACUGGGACGGAGACACGGCCCAGACUCCUACGGGAGGCAGCAGUGGGGAAUUUUGGACAAUGGGCGCAAGCCUGAUCCAGCAAUGCCGCGUGCAGGAAGAAGGCCUUCGGGUUGUAAACUGCUUUUGUCAGGGAAGAAAUCUUCUGGGUUAAUACCUCGGGAGGAUGACGGUACCUGAAGAAUAAGCACCGGCUAACUACGUGCCAGCAGCCGCGGUAAGAC
rnacentral:rRNA from 1 species